UUGAAAGUGAAAAAUUCAUAAAAUAAAGUGAGAUACUUUAAAAUGACAUUCCCCUGUAAAUUCAUAAAGAUACUUCAAUAUUAUAAAUUUUGGUUUAAAAUAAGGGAAACUAAUACUUUCAGGUCUGCUGCAACAUUUUAAUUGUCUUACAAAUUAUAAUUUACUUUUAGAUCUGUGAAGAAUAGAGUAAUUUGUAAUUUAUUAAUAAAAUAUUAUAAAGAAUUUUGGAUUUAAAGAAAAUAUAAUUAUUUAGCACAUUUUAUGUUUUUGCUAUAGUUGUAAAACUAUGACAAAGUACAUGAGCAGAAGAAAAAAAACAGCAAUAUAAACAAUAAUGCUUUGACAAAGAAACUCAAUAGAUGCUUUCUUGAAUGGUAUGGCCAGUCAAAACAUUUUCAUUUGAGCCAAUCAUGCUCAUGCGCUUCUUUCCAAGUCAUUCUUACUGCCUGCCCCUCCUUACUUCACCCUCUCCCUUCACACCUUCCCGAUGCUUCUGGUAUUCCUAGCCACUACUCCCCCCCCGCUGUAUGAACGAGCUGUCAAAACUGCCACAGCGACUGACUUCCUCAACGUCAUCAGCACAGAACCUCCGAACCUGGCGGAUGGCCUGAACAAUAUUGGUCGACACCCUGAUAACGCAUACUACUACCACGCGUGCCUGGCCGGAUUACAAGGGUCAUCGCUAUCUCCCCUCCCCAGCCUGCGCAUCGUCCUGCCACGGCGCCGUUAUCCAUAGCUGAACAGCCUUGUCGUGCGGAGUAACACGACUGGACUGUUCAGGCAUCGGGUUGGCCCGGGAUGACGUGACUCAUCAUCAGCCGCUCUCGUCUUUUCGAGAAGGACGCCCCUAGGUACUCAAGCUGGGAUGCUGGACUCCACAAAAGUUUUUGGGUGCGUGAGUACUUGGGGCGGCGAGGGUCCCGCAACUGAGAAAGGCAAGAGUGCCGCGGGUGCAGCGACAGUUCUUAGGGUGGCUAGAAUCCCGGUGAGAGUGCGGCGACGGAGUUCGGCGAGGAGUGCGGCGAGAGUUGCAUGAGGAGUUCGGCCCAGUGAGGAGUGAGGACUGUUGGAACUUGGCAGACAAGGAGUGACUUGACGAUAAACAUUUUUAAGUGUGAGUAAUUGGUAAUUUGGUCUUUUUAAGAACAACUAUUUAUGUAAAUAUUAUUAAUUAAUAAGAACUGUAAUUAAAAA